rnacentral:rRNA from 1 species
CCUACGGGUGGCAGCAGUAGGGAAUAUUGCGCAAUGGGGGAAAGCCUGAAGCAGCAACACCGCGUGAAGGAUGAGGGUUUUCGGGUGGUAAGCUCCUUUUGUUAGAGAAGAUAAUGACGGUAUCUAACGAAUAAGCACCGGCUAACUCCGUGCCAGCAGCCGCGGUAAUACGGAGGGUGCAAGCGUUACUCGGAAUCAAUGGGCGUAAAGAGCGCGUAGGCGGGAUAGCAAGUCAGAUGUGAAAUCCUAUGGCUUAACCAUAGAACUGCAUUUGAAACUGUUAUUCUAGAGUAUGGGAGAGGUAGGUGGAAUUCUUGGUGUAGGGGUAAAAUCCGUAGAGAUCAAGAGGAAUACUCAUUGCGAAGGCGACCUGCUAGAACAUAACUGACGCUGAUGCGCGAAAGCGUGGGGAGCAAACAGGAUUAGAUACCCGAGUAGUC